rnacentral:rRNA from 1 species
GAUGAACGCUGGCGGCGUGCCUAAUACAUGCAAGUCGAGCGAACAGACGAGGAGCUUGCUCCUCUGACGUUAGCGGCGGACGGGUGAGUAACACGUGGAUAACCUACCUAUAAGACUGGGAUAACUUCGGGAAACCGGAGCUAAUACCGGAUAACAUGUUGAACCGCAUGGUUUAACAGUGAAAGACGGUCUUGCUGUCACUUAUAGAUGGAUCCGCGCCGCAUUAGCUAGUUGGUAAGGUAACGGCUUACCAAGGCAACGAUGCGUAGCCGACCUGAGAGGGUGGUAGGCCACACUGGAACUGAGACACGGUCCAGAGUCCUACGGGAGGCAGCAGUAGGGAAUCUUCCGCAAUGGGCGAAAGCCUGACGGAGCAACGCCGCGUGAGUGAAGAAGGUCUUCGGAUCGUAAAACUCUGUUAUUAGGGAAGAACAAAUGUGUAAGUAACUAUGCACGUCUUGACGGUACCUAAUCAGAAAGCCACGGCUAACUACGUG